GUUAAGCUCCGGGGUUGAAAUUUCAACCCUGCUUCAGCGGCGGCUGGGUUGAAAUUUCAACCCCGGGGUUGAAC